rnacentral:rRNA from 1 species
GACGAACGCUGGCGGCGUGCUUAAUACAUGCAAGUCGAACGGGGCCUAGCCGAUAGGUUUCACUUAUUGGCGAAAGCCUAGUGGCGGACGGGUGAGUAACGCGUGGGCAAUCUGCCCCUAAGUCCGGGAUAACAGAGCGAAAGUUCUGCUAAGACCGGAUAUGCUUCUUAGGUCGCAUGGCUUAGGGAGGAAAGGUUUACCGCUUAGGGAUGAGCCCGCGUCCCAUUAGCUAGUUGGUGAGGUAACGGCCCACCAAGGCGACGAUGGGUAGCCGGCCUGAGAGGGUGUACGGCCACACUGGGACUGAGACACGGCCCAGACUCCUACGGGAGGCAGCAGUAGGGAAUUUUCGGCAAUGGGCGGAAGCCUGACCGAGCAACGCCGCGUGAGGGAAGAAGGUCUUCGGAUCGUAAACCUUUGUCAUCGGGGACGAUGAUGACGGUACCCGAGGAGGAAGCCCCGGUAACGUACGUG